rnacentral:rRNA from 1 species
CAGCCGCCGCGGGAAUACAGAGGGUGCGAGCGUUAAUCGGAUUUACUGGGCGUAAAGCGUGCGUAGGCGGCUAAUUGAGUCGGAUGUGAAAUCCCCGAGCUUAACUUGGGAAUUGCAUUCGAUACUGGUUAGCUAGAGUGUGGGAGAGGAUGGUAGAAUUCCAGGUGUAGCGGUGAAAUGCGUAGAGAUCUGGAGGAAUACCGAUGGCGAAGGCAGCCAUCUGGCCUAACACUGACGCUGAGGUACGAAAGCAUGGGGAGCAAACAGGAUUAGAUACCCCAGUAGUCCCUGUCUCUUAUAU